ensembl:lncRNA
AGCAGUAAACACAAUAAAACCCUAGGCAAAUGCAAACCACCUCAUGGAGACACCCCAGGCAUUUGGAGGAUUUCCACAGAAGACAAAUCCUGCUAAAAUAGGCUGCAAACAUUACAAACAUUACACUGCACAUGAGAGACUAUCAGUAUAUGCAAAAGAUGAGAGACUUUGCACCCAAGUAACGAGAGAGAGCAAUCUGGAAAGGACUUUAACAUGAGUAUGUUUAAAAUGUUCAAAUAAAUAAAGGCAGGAAGUAAGACACAUAAAACAAGAACAGGGAUACAUGAAGUAGGAAAACAAAAGAGAAGCAAAUAGAGAGUCUAUACAUGAAAUAUAUAGUCAUGCAAAUGUAUAAAGGAUCAUGAAGCUGGACGUUGCACCAACAAUUCCUGGCCCUGCUGGGGUGACGACGGGGAGGAUCUGUCCCCGCCCGCGAGACCUCAGGAAGACCUCGCUGACUCACUGCACCCGGCCACCUCACAACGACCCUGUUGUACUCUCCAAGAACCUGUCACCAGUGAAAACAUUCCUGGAUGGCCACAGUCAAGAAAGAAGACUCUGAGAGGGAAAGACAAGUCUGCACUGGCUGGGAACUGGCUCUCAGUGACUGAAGCACCCUGUGAGAACAGGCAGCGAGGGCGGAGAGGAACAACGGUAAUCCUGGGCCCUCGCCGCACCUCUCUCGGCUGAAACUGCAACCCACGCAGAGAGAAAUGUUGCUGUCGCCAGAUUCAUAUUUCAUCCUCACAGCGACUUAGUGUCAACAUUAUCUUAAACAUGAUGCAUGGAGUCGCCAGAACUUCUGGUAGGAAUCAAAACAAAGAGAACUCAGGAACGUUGUAAGUCCAGUCUACAAAGAGAUUAACUUCUGACAGAGGAAGAAAACCAAAUGUGGAAGUUGGAGAAGGUGUACAUUAACAUCACCUGGGCAGCAGAGGUUGCUUCAUAAAUGCUAGCAACCCUCUCCUCAUUUCAUCACCAUUAAACCUCCUGAAUGGAUGGUUGAAACUUUUGUUCUCACCCUGCUGACUUCUGGGGAGGGGAGAGGAACUAGAUAUUGAGUUCAAUCAACAAUGGCCAAUGAUUUAAUCAAUCAUGUCUAUGUAAUGAAGUCUCCAUAAAAACCCAAAAGGAUGGGGUUUGGAGGACCUCUGGGUUGGUGAACACAUGGAGACAAGGAGAGAGGGGAGCGCUCUGAGGGGAUGUGGAAACUCUGAGCCCCUUCUCGCAAGCCUUGCCCUAUGCAUCUCUUCCACCUGGCUGUUCCUCAGUUAUAUUCUUUAUGUAACCAGUAAUCUAAUAAAUAAAAUGUUUCUCUGAGUUCUGUGAGCCACUGUAACAAAGUGACGGAACCCAAGAAGGAGGUCAUGGGAACCUCCAAAGUAUAGCCAGUCGGUCAGAAGCACAGGUGACAACCUGGACUUUCAAUUGGCUCUGAAGUGAGGGGAGGGAAAGGACUGAGCCCUUAACGUGUGGAUCUGACCCUAUCUCCAGGUAGAUAGUGUCAGAAUUGAGUUAAAUCCUGGGACACCCAGCUGGUGUCAGAGAAUUGCUUGGUGGUGUGGGGAAAAAAACACACACACAGUAGUUGGUGUCAGAAUCAUUACCUAGCAUCCUCUAAAAGUGACCAAUGGGGGACUUCCCUGGCAGUUCAGUGGUUAAGACUCCAUGCCUCCAAUGCAGGGGACGCAGGUUCGAUCCCUGGUCUGGGAACUAAGAUCCCACAUGCCACACAGCGUGGCCAAAAAAAAAAAGUGAGCAACGGGAUCGUUUUGCUGUCAUUAUUUAGUAUCAUUAUUAACUCAUAGAUUUAAGCAUAUUAAAUAUGUUUCUGUUAUUUUCCUUAUCAAUACUCAUAUUGUCUCAUGUUUGGCCAGUGGGAGUUCCUUUGAGUUGGGGCCUAAGUUCCUAUGACAUGACCCUAGUAGUCUUUGAUAACUUCCUUCUUCCUGGUAUAAGAUGUUCCUAGAUCAUCUAGUGCAUUUCCUGCACCAGACCUUUCUUCAAGGAUCCCUUCUUCCUUUUAGCAGCCUCUCAUCCUUUUUGUUUCCUUUGCCCACUCUUCUUCCUGUACCUUAAGACUCAAACUCAGUCUUUGACCUUCUCCUCUUAUGUCCCUAGCUUCUCCCAUCAAUGAAAGUCAUAACCAGUCACACUUCAACUAGCACUCCUUGCUGGCCUAUAUGUCUGCA